AUUGAACGCUGGCGGCAGGCCUAACACAUGCAAGUCGAGCGGAUGAAGGGAGCUUGCUCCUGGAUUCAGCGGCGGACGGGUGAGUAAUGCCUAGGAAUCUGCCUGGUCGUGGGGGCUAACGUCCGGAAACGGGCGCUAAUACCGCAUACGUCAUGAGGGUGAAAGUGGGGGAUCUUCGGACCUCACGCUAUCAGAUGAGCCUAGGUCGGAUUAGCUAGUUGGUUGGGUAAAGGCCUACCAAGGCGACGAUCCGUAACUGGUCUGCGAGGGUGAUCUGCCACCACGGAAAUGGGACACGGUCCAGAAUCCUACGGGAGGCAGGAGGAGGGAAAUUUGGGCAAUGGGGGAAAGCCUGACGGAGCAACGGCGGGGGAGUGAAGAAGGUCUUUGGAUGUUAAAACCCUUUUAUUAGGGGAGAAAAGAUGUGAAAGUAACUGUGCGCUUCUUGACGGUACCUAAUAAGAAAGCCACGGCUAACUUCGUG
rnacentral:rRNA from 1 species